rnacentral:scRNA from 1 species
GUUUUUCUGGAGGAGGUGCCCCCCUGGCAUGC